rnacentral:rRNA from 1 species
GAUGAACGCUAGCGGCAGGCUUAAUACAUGCAAGUCGAACGGCAGCGGGUCCAGCAAUGGAUGCCGGCGAGUGGCGCACGGGUGCGUAACACGUAUGCAACCUACCUUUAACCGGGACAUAACCUCGAGAAAUCGUGGCUAAUAUUCCAUAAUAUCUUUGAAUCGCAUGGUUUGAAGAUCAAAAUUCCGAUGGUUUAGAUGGGCAUGCGCGACAUUAGCUAGUUGGUGAGGUAAUGGCUAACCAAGGCUACGAUGUUUAGGGGGUCUGAGAGGAUGAUCCCCCACACUGGUAAUGAGACACGGACCAGACUCCUACGGGAGGCAGCAGUAAGGAGUAUUGGGCAAUGGGCGCAAGCCUGACCCAGCCAUGCCGCGUGCGGGAUGACAGCCCUACGGGUUGUAAACUGCUUUUAUACGGGAAAAAGCCCUCUGACGUGUCAGAGGCUGAUGGUACUGUAAGAAUAAGCAUCGGCUAACUCCGUGCCAGCCGCCGCGGUAAGAC